rnacentral:rRNA from 1 species
GUAGGGAAUAUUGGGCAAUGGGCGAAAGCCUGACCCAGCAACGCCGCGUGUGCGAUGAAGGCCUUCGGGUCGUAAAGCACUUUUCUGAGGGAUGAGCAAGGACAGUACCUCAGGAAUAAGUCUCGGCUAACUACGUGCCAGCAGCCGCGGUAAAACGUAGGAGACUAGCGUUAUCCGGAUUUACUGGGCGUAAAGCGUGUGCAGGCGGUUCGGCAAGUUGGAUGUGAAAUCUCCCGGCUCAACUGGGAGGGGUCGUUCAAUACUACCAAACUUGAGGGCAUCAGAGGAAGGUGGAAUUCCGGGUGUAGUGGUGAAAUGCGUAGAUAUCCGGAGGAACACCAGUGGCGAAGGCGGCCUUCUGGGAUGCUCCUGACGCUCAGACACGAAAGCUAGGGGAGCGAACGGGAUUAGAAACCCGAGUAGUCC